ACUCAAUAGCAUACAGCUGGACCCUUCUCAUUAAAAUCUCACACUGCUAAAAUAUCGCGAGAUUUGCAAUAGUCAGCAAUUAAAGGCUUCUGCCUAUUUUUUACGGUCUCUGGAUUCUGCUCUGCAGGUGCGACCACGGUCAUUUUGCACUAUUGAUAAUAGCCUACCGGCUACAGCGCAACGCGAUUAUCAAAAAACUUAGUUCUGGCCUUGAUUUUCUGUGAGGUUCGUUUGUUCUUAUGAAUUAGCCGUCUCGUCUCUAGCUUGUGUAGUGUAGCUUAGUUGAAGAACUUGAACGCUACCUAGAAGUUAAUUAAGUUUAGAGUUAACGUUUUUUAAACUCUUGGUUAUGAUUUUAAAACGUAUUUAUAGAGCCUUGUUUUUUUUCCCUUUCCAACGUUUCGACAGCCACCGAAAGCGGUCCUCGGAUUAUUAUUGCCUACGAUUUAUAUAAACUCCUAUCGGACUGUGUGUGUUUACGUGUAAACUUUGGACUGAAAUAUAAAUAUUCCAACUGUAGCCUACCUUUUCCCUUCCCAUGUGAAGCAAGUAAGGAAAAGGCAUUAACACCAUGAACACCAAAGGCAUGUUUGAUCAUAACCUGUAGUCUCAUCACCAUGCCAACAAAGGGGGAACCAGAAGUUCCCAUGCGGCUGAACACACACCCCCGCAUCCCUUCAAACAGAACGAGAUCCAGAUGGCCGACAGGACACACUUCCGUUGCACGUUCAGAGCGACUGGUCAGGGAAAUGAGUCUGAGAUCCCAAAUCCUUCCACCUCCUACCCCCAUCCCACCCUGUGACCACCCCAGAGAGGUUCUGGAGUUUCACCUGAGCAGCGCAAUCAUUCAGCCAGAGGACCUACACACCUGGUACAGGUAGGCCUUCUGACACCUGAGAGAACUGUGAUGAAAAAAUGGGAGGGGCCUACACACCUUG